rnacentral:lncRNA from 1 species
UAUGAUUCAAGCAAGUGUUGAUCUUCAACUUAAAGACCCUCUUCCUUUGGAUUGGGAACAAUGUCUUGAUCUUGAAGUAUAUAUACCCCUUAUUUUCUUUCUCCUAACUUUUCACUUCAAUUCUAUCUUCUUCUAUUAGUACCUUAUUUUCUUUCCCCUAACUUUUUACUUCAAUUCUUUUUCUAUUAGUAAUAGUAGAGUUUAUCUUAUAAGGGGAGCAGUGACGUAACCGGUAAAGUUGCUGACAUGUGAUAAGGAGGUCAAGAGUUUAAGCUGUGGAAAUAACCUCUUGCAAAAAUACAGGGUAAAGCUGCGUACAGUUAGACCCUUGUGGUCCGGCCCCUUCCUACACAUAACGAGAGCUUAGUGCACUGGGCUGCCCUCUAAUAGAGUUUACGUUAUAUGCACCGAUAAUAUAAAGCUGAUUAGAGGAAGUUAUUGCACUAUUUCUUAGGUCAAUUUAACUUGAUUGUAUAGAAACUAAAUAUACUAUCGGUGCACAGAACAUAAACUCAUUAGUUAACUCUUUUUUUUGGGUUGAAUUAUUAACUAAU